GAAUGCGUUCCAGUGAGAAGGGGCUCUUCGGGCCGAGCCCGCCCCGGCCCGCAGCGCCCGCUCGGGCGGACCCGCGUCCCGGCCCCGGCUCCCGCGCGCGCCCGCCCGCGCCCCAGAGGCAGCGCUGGUGCGGGACGGAGGUGUUGACGGUGUGCGGAGAGAAGGGGCUGGCGAGCGUGGGUCCACUGAUCUAGGUGACCGCUCAGGUCCUCGCCCGGAUCUGAUAUAUGGAUGAAUCCCCUGGCAUGGAAUUAUUAAGUGAAAGGAUGUGAAGAGCUUCACAACUCUUGCUACAUUGUGAAUGCAGGCUCCCUGAAGUCCUAUGCCAUCUGGUUUACUGCUAUAUAUGCAGUGCCCAGCCCAGUGCCAGCACAGACUAGGUGCUCAGUACAUACUUGCUGAAUGAAUGAAUGAGUGACCAGCUGCCACGUGGAGAGAAGCCGAAGCUUAGGCCACAUGGAGAGCGAGCAGCAAGGAACACGCCCACAGUGAGACCCGGGGCUGUACGCACAGGGCCCUGGGGACGCCGUUCCAGCCGUCUCAGCCGGGGCAUCGCGCCUGUGAUGAGCAAGCCAUCUUGGACGGCCCAGCCCUGCCGGGCAGCAUGUGGAGAAGACACGAGCUGUCUCCAGUGCUCCCUGACCGAGCUCCUGACCUGAGAAUCAUGGGAAAUAACAAAAUAGUUGUUGUUUGAGCCGUUAUGUUUUGGGGGUAUUCUGUGAGGCAGCAAUCGGUAACACGAACAGGCGUUCCCCACGCGUGUCCCGUGGUGUGAGGGUCCCUGGCCCUGAGCCCAUGAGCCACAGGCGGAGAGGAGGGCAGGAGCCCGGCUGUGGCGCCGCCGGGGCUUGGGUGGAGGGGGCCGGCGCUCUGCUGUGGGGGAGAGCUCCGAGGCUGGCGCUGGCUUCAAGUUCAAGCUGAUUUGAUUGUUUGGGUCCCUCUGCUUUCACCCCUCCCUCCCUGACCAGCAUCUAAAAAGGAUUGACCCUGGGCUUAAAAGAAUAGAUUUUUGGAAUCCGCAUGUCAAAGCAGGACAUGGCAGUAGAGGUGGCUCCUCGAGGCAUCUUCCUGGAGGCAACAGCGUGUGUGUCGCAGCAGAGUGCUGCCCUGCGCCCUCCGCCCCACGUACCUGGAGCGGGGGAGCCUCGGUGUGGCCACAGCAGUCGCAGCACCGUCUGCUGUGAUGGACGCCACGCAGGAGGAAGGAAGGAGGAAGUUUUGGCUUAUUUGGUUCCAAAGGGAGUUUAAACGUGGGUUUGUGUGAUUCUUUGGGAGAGGCAGAGGAACAAGCACAAGCUUGGGAACUAGACAGACGGGCUCCGACUCCUCAGCCACUUACAACCUGUGUGAUUACAAGUCAGUUUCCUGAUCUGGCUGGGACUGGGCUUUCCCAGCCGUAAAGUGGGGAGCACAGUAGCCACCUGUCCAGGUGGUUAUGAGAACUAUAGGCAAGGUAGGUGAUGUUGCACGGAGUGGGCGAUGUAAGUGCAAGUUCCCAACCGUCUGGUCAGAAAUAAAAUUUGUGUAUCGUCACCCACCCCAGCUAUCAGAAAAUGGAGCGCUGAACACGAUGUCCGUUUACAGGCUGUUCAUUUCAGAAGCCUGCUGGGUGUACUCCAUCUGACCCAAUGGGGGGGCGUCUCCAUAUCUAUAAAUGUUUUGGGUUGCACAGUAUUUUGUAACAUCCAUGAAACUUAUGUAUUUCCAGUGCCCAAACACUGCUUGGCACAUAGUAUGUGUUCAGUGAAUAUUUGUUGACUAAAGAGAGGAUGUACGACUUAAACCGUUUUAAGGGGUGGUUCCCCCGUGAGCCAGAGAUGAGCAGACACUGGUGUUUGAACUCCCGUUGCUCCUGUGUAGAGGCUUGUGCUUGCUAAGGGUGCAGAACCUGGACAGCCUUGCUUGUCUCACUCACAUCCUUCCUGUCUCCCUUCUUUGCUAACAGAACCCCAACUGUGCCCUGCACAGCCGUGUGUCCGGCACCUAGUCACAGAUCCGGAUUGGCCAAAGCUAACCAGGACAGUCCUUUCUGUUUUCCAGCUUCCUUUGCAGCUAUGAAUGGCCAAAGUGGGUUCUGUGGAAGUAUACUGGACACAGGAAGGGGCCUUGGGGGUGUAUUUGCUUUCUUGGUAAAUGGAGAAAAAUGCAGCUGUAAAUGGCCUUCCCACUUUCUUCCCUGAAGAUGGAUGUGAUAGCUGGAGCAGGAGAAGCUGUCGUGCCACCAAGAGGAAGAGCCACGAGAACCGCAGAGAAAGUGGUCCUGAAACCAUUGAGCUGCUGACCCCAUGCCCAUAGCUGUCUUCCUCCAUCUUGCUGCAAAACUAAAACAAAUUCCUGAGUCAGUGGAGUCAGGUUUUCUUUCAUGUGGGCCAAAUGAAUACCUAAAUGGUACACAGACUAUCUGGUUAAAAAAAUUAAAUCACACGAGCACAAAGGCUUAAAACCACUUCAGAAUCGGUAUGUUUCAUUGAUGAAUGGGGUGAAGUGGUAGAUUAAGACCUAGAAUCUAUUUUUUU